AGACAAAAUGUUAAAAAACUACCUAGUAUAUACCCCAUUUUGCAAAAAACUACCUUAAUUAAAAAUUUUUGCAAAAAACUACCUUAUAUAAUACAAUUGUUUGCAAAACACUACCUUAUAACAAAUUGUGGUCUUUGACCGCUAUCUUUAACCGUUGACCCGCAUGUGACACGCACGUGAUACUUUAAUUGUAUGACUUCUUCAUUUCAGUUCAGCCCAUUCGAAAAUCCUUUCAAUCCUGCCAUUUCCAGCGACAACUCCAUUGAUGUAGCUUCUCAUUUCGCUCCCAUCCACCUCGUAACUUCAUCUCCUUGAAAUUUCUAAGCAAAUUCGCGAUUUUUCUAUUGAAUUCAAGCAACGGAGAUGUGGUAAUUGUGGUGACCUAGGUCACUACAAAAAAAGCUGCAAGAAUCCACCAAAACCACCACCAACAAAGACCAAGUCAAAGGGUGGUAGGCCUAAAAUGGGAUCUUCUUCUACUCAACAAUCUACAACAAAUGAUGUGCCUAGCUCCAGUGGUCAACAACAAACGCAAAAUGCUGCAUCUACUUCAUGUGUAAUGGAUCAAAAUAGUCAAAUAUAGACUUGUGAAGAGUAAUUUACUGUUGAAUGUAAUGUGUUGAAUUAGUAGAAGUGUAUGAGUUUCAAAUUGUAAUGUGUAUGAACUAAGAAUGUACUAUGUUGAACUGUAUUUUAGCAAAUCAGUGUAUGAACUGAGAAUGUAAUGUGUUGAAUUAAGUGCAACAAAUUUAGUUAUUGUGUUGAA